rnacentral:rRNA from 1 species
UCAAGCUAAAAAGGGCGCAAGGUGAAUGCCUUGGCACUGGGAGCCGAUGAAAGACGUGGUAAGCUGCGAAAAGCUUCGGGGAGGAGCAAACAUCCAUUGAUCCGGAGAUAUCUGAAUGGGGCAACCCAAUGGAGUUCAUACUCCAUUAUCCAAUACUGAAUCCAUAGGUAUUGGAAGGGAACCGCCUGAACUGAAACAUCUAAGUAGGGCGAGGAAGAGACAUCAAACGAGAUUCCGUAAGUAGUGGCGAGCGAACGCGGAAGAGGGCAAACCGAGAGUAGAAAUACUUUCGGGGUACGGAGCGCAUUUAAGACUUGAGUUGUUAACCGAACGGCAUGGGAAGGCCGGUCAGAGAGUGUGAGAACCACGUAGGUGAAAACGACAAGAGCUGAGCGAUUUCCAGAGUACGGCCAGACACGUGAAACCUGGUCGGAAGAUGGGGGGACCACCCUCCAACCCUAAAUACUACCCAGUGACCGAUAGCGUAUAGUACUGUGAAGGAAAGGUGAAAAGGACCCCGGGAGGGGAGUGAAAGAGAACCUGAAACCUUGUGCCUACAAGCACAUAGAGCCCGUCAAAGGGUGAUAUGGUACUUUUUGUAGAACGGUCCGGCGAGCGAUUGUACGUUGCGAGCUUAAGGUCUUAAGGACUGGAGGCGUAGCGAGAGCGAGUCUAAACAGGGCGUUUAGUAGCGUGCAAUGGGCCCGAAACCGGGUGACCUACCCAUGAUCAGGCUGAAGUGAAAGUAAAAUUUCAUGGAGGGCCGAACCGACCUCCGUUGAAAAGGCGGCGGAUGAAUUGUGGGUAGCGGAGAAAUUCCAAUCGAACUCGGAGAUAGCUGGUUCUCCCCGAAAUAGCUUUAGGGCUAGCCUCAUGUUAGAUAUCCGGAGGUAAAGCACUGAAUGGCCUAGCGUCCGAGAGGAUAGCGAAGCCUAUCAAACUAAGAAUGCCGGAAUAUUGAUGCAUGGGAGUCAGACAGUGUGAGAUAAAUCUCAUUGUCAAAAGGGAAACAGCCCAGAUCUACAGCUAAGGUCCCAAAUUGUAUCUAAGUGGAAAACGAUGUGGAAAUACGCAGACAACCAGGAUGUUGGCUCAGAAGCAGCCACUCAUUUAAAGAGUGCGUAAUAGCUCACUGGUCGAGCGUCUCUGCGCGGAAAAUUUAACGGGGCUAAGAUACAAACCGAAGCUUAGGCUGCAUACGGAAGUAUGCGGGGUAGGGGAGCGUUGUGUAAGCGGAGAAACAGUAGCGUAAGCGGCUGUGGAGUUUACAGAAGUGAGAAUGCCGGAAUGAGUAGCGCGAAUGAUGUGAGAAUCAUCAUGGCCGGAAACCUCAGGUUUUUGGAGGAAGGUUCGUCCGCUCCAAGUUAGGCGGGAGCUAAGGUGAGGCCGAAAGGCGUAGCCGAUGCACAGACGGUAGAGAUUCCGUCCCCACCGAAAGAUUUAAGCGCAGGGACACUUUUAGAAGGUCGGAGCCAGGUGUUGGUUCUGGUAGAGAUCGAGGGAAGAUUAGUACCGAAGUCCGGCUGGAUAAGAGGCGAGAAAAGCUGCGUGUAUAUCUAAGGUGCCCGUACCGCAAACCGACACAGGUAGGUAGGAAGAAGAUUCUAAGGCCAACGGGAGAAGGGUUGUUAAGGAACUCGGCAAAUUGACCCCGUAACUUCGGGAGAAGGGGUGCUGCAGCAAUGCAGCCGCAGAGAAUCGGCCCAAGCAACUGUUUACCAAAAACACAGGUUUGUGCUAAAUCGAAAGAUGACGUAUACGAGCUGACGCCUGCCCGGUGCUGGAAGGUUAAGAGGAGAUGUGCAAGCAUUGAAUCGAAGCCCCAGUGAACGGCGGCCGUAACUAUAACGGUCCUAAGGUAGCGAAAUUCCUUGUCAGGUAAGUUCUGACCCGC